AUUUAAAAAUUUUUUUUUAUUUACAAGAUCCACUGUGAAUAACAAAAAUAUUACAAACCAUAGAUAUUAGUUGAGUAUGUGCUUGAGUGUUUGUUAGAAUUCUGCUGUGCUUGGAAUACUCAGAAUUUACUUGUCUGUAGGAAAGAAACAAAGGUUUCUUAUAGUACUUUUGGUUGUUCAUGUAUAACAAUUUUUUUAAAGCUACCUAUCCAACUACAAACAUAUAAUCCCAAUAACAUAUCUUUUUUGUCAGUGUUUAAGCAAAAAUAUCUUUCAAUCAGAAUUCUUCACAACUCAACAGAUCAAGUGAGAGCCAAGCAAAGAAAAAUUAAUUUCUAAGGAAAUUAGAAGCAAUCUAUAAGACCUGAUAGUACGAAACACACCAUCCUAAGAAAAGAUACUUACAGAUUCAAGUAAAUGACUGUUGACUUGAAAACCUUUCAACUGCGGUGGCAGCUAAGAAAUUUGACAAGUGACGUAACACCAGACUGAAUGGGGCUCACUUAUUACCUAAGAUGGUUGCUCACAGAAAUUUUUGUUUUGUUUUGUUUUGGAUGCAACAGGGUCUCAUUAUGACUUCAUCCUGGCCUUGAACUCACUUUGCAGCCCAGGCUGGCCUUCAACUCAUGGCAGUCCUGCCUCAGCCUCCCAGUACUGGGAUUAUAAACAUGUGCCACCAUGCCUGGCAACUCACAGAAAUCUUAAAAAAUAUUUCUAGACAAUGCAAUUGUAAAGAAAAUCCACAUAUAAUUCAAUGGAAAAGUUUUACUGAAACAGAAGUUAACAUGACUUGUCCGUUAUCACCAAACCAGUAAGAAACAAAGCCCCUUUUAAAGUGAUUCUCAAGUCUAAGCAAGCUCACUUCACUCUUCUUUAAAAAUCUUUUUGCUUAUGUUUAUAUUUUAAUGUUUUCCUUAGUAUAAGCUAUCUAAAUCUUUCUCUUGGAAAAUGUGGAAAAUCAAAGAAUGCAUAAAUAUGGAUACAAAUUAUAGUGGUUUACUCUCACCUUACCUAGGACAUUGUCCAAAGUGAUUGUCAUAUCUUACACUAUUUUUCGCCCAUUACCAGAUCCCAGGGAUCUAAUUCAGGACCUUGCACACUUGCAAGGCAGGCCCAGUGCCACUGAGCUAAAUCCCUCAGAGCCCUUUUGGAGUUUUAAAUUUUGACGCUGGAUGUGCUAAAAUUGUUUUCCUGCCCUCUUAAUAUGAAAGUCCAGCUGUGUUCUGGAGACAGUACACUAUGGAUGUGGUAAUACCAAGGAUGAAGCCCACUAACAGGUACAGCCCAGGAGCACAGUGAGGUCCACUGAAGCCUAAGAAAUGAUAUUUUUAUGUUCACUGCAGCAUACAAAAUUAAGAAUACUA
rnacentral:lncRNA from 1 species